GCCUGGCUAGCUCAGUCGGUACAGCAUGAGACUCUUAAUCUCAGGGUCGUGGGUUAGAGCCCCACAUUGGGCG
rnacentral:tRNA from 2 species